UACGUAGGUCCCGAGCGUUGUCCGAAUUUAUUGGGCGUAAAGCGAGCGCAGGUGGUUUAUUAAGUCUGGUGUAAAAGGCAGUGGCUCAACCAUUGUAUGCAUUGGAAACUGGUAGACUUGAGUGCAGGAGAGGAGAGUGGAAUUCCAUGUGUAGCGGUGAAAUGCGUAGAUAUAUGGAGAAACACCGGUGGCGAAAGCGGCUCUCUGGCCUGUAACUGACACUGAGGCUCGAAAGCGUGGGGAGCAAACAGG
rnacentral:rRNA from 1 species